rnacentral:misc_RNA from 1 species
AACAAGGCGUACCUGCGGACCUGCGGAGGGAUCAUUACCGAGUGUGGUCCCAUAUAAGGGGCGCCUCCCGUCCUUUGCAGGGCCCUUAGGGGCUUUUUGACUUUGCUUCGGCGGGCUUGCCCCGCCGGAACACCCUCAAGAAAAUCUUUAUGAACCGUUUGUCUGAGUUGCUUGCGAAUAAAAACAAAACUUUCAACAACGGAUCU